rnacentral:rRNA from 1 species
UACGAAGGGUGCAAACGUUGCUCGGAAUUAUUGGGCGUAAAGCGCACGUAGGCGGCUCCGCAAGUCGGAUGUGAAAUCCCUCGGCUCAACCAAGGAAGUGCAUCCGAAACUGCAGAGCUUGAGUACCAAAGAGGAUCGCGGAAUUCCCGGUGUAGAGGUGAAAUUCGUAGAUAUCGGGAGGAACACCAGUGGCGAAGGCGGCGAUCUGGGUGGAUACUGACGCUGAGGAGCGAAAGCGUGGGGAGCGAACAGG